rnacentral:rRNA from 1 species
GACGAACGCUGGCGGCGUGCUUAACACAUGCAAGUCGAACGGAAAGGCCCUGCUUUUGUGGGGUGCUCGAGUGGCGAACGGGUGAGUAACACGUGAGUAACCUGCCCUUGACUUUGGGAUAACUUCAGGAAACUGGGGCUAAUACCGGAUAGGAGCUCCUGCUGCAUGGUGGGGGUUGGAAAGUUUCGGCGGUUGGGGAUGGACUCGCGGCUUAUCAGCUUGUUGGUGGGGUAGUGGCUUACCAAGGCUUUGACGGGUAGCCGGCCUGAGAGGGUGACCGGCCAAAUUGGGAAUGAGAUAACGGCCCGAAUCCUAAGGGAGGGAGGAGGGGGGAAAUAUGGCCCAUGGGCGGAAGCCCGAUGGCGGAACGCCGGGUGCGGGAUGGAGGCCCUUCGGUUGGAAAACCGUUUCGGCUGUGAAGAAGGGUGAGGGAAGGGAAUUGGUAAAGAAGGAACGGGUAAAUAAGUG